UUUCCUUUUGAAUGCGCAGCAACAUAAACAGCAAAAAAUGAGUUUUAAAGAAUCGUUUUUCAACCUUCUUCAAAGUUUCAGAUUGGAAAAGCACUACAAUGAACUUCUGAGGCUAGGAGUUGAAGACGAAAGAGAUUUAAUUGAUAGUGUUUCUGAAGAGAAUUUAACAAAUAUGGGUAUGACUCAAGUGGAAAAGGAGAGAUAUGAAAAUAUGAAAAACAUAUACAGACAAUGGGAAUACAAUCGUCCCUUCCAUCUUGUACAUCAUUUAAAAAAUCAGUGGGAACCUUCUCUGUGAAAUACAGAUUGCCUAAAUGUCCAGAACUAAAAAUUAUUAAAGACAUGGAUCCACAUCAGAAUACAGUAGAUGACCUUAUCCUUAGAAUAUGUCACCAGGAGGCACUUGACUCUACCAAAACUGUUGUCCUUUUACUUACGAAGGAAUGCCUUUGAGUGAUGAUCCUUUCUUUA